GGUCAAGUGAAGAAGCGCAUACGGUGGAUGCCUUGGCAGUCAGAGGCGAUGAAAGACGUGGUAGCCUGCGAAAAGCUUCGGGGAGUCGGCAAACAGACUUUGAUCCGGAGAUCUCUGAAUGGGGGAACCCACCUAGGAUAACCUAGGUAUCUUGUACUGAAUCCAUAGGUGCAAGAGGCGAACCAGGGGAACUGAAACAUCUAAGUACCCUGAGGAAAAGAAAUCAACCGAGAUUCCCUUAGUAGUGGCGAGCGAACGGGGAUUAGCCCUUAAGCUUCAUUGAUUUUAGCGGAACGCUCUGGAAAGUGCGGCCAUAGUGGGUGAUAGCCCCGUACGCGAAAGGAUCUUUGAAGUGAAAUCGAGUAGGACGGAGCACGAGAAACUUUGUCUGAACAUGGGGGGACCAUCCUCCAAGGCUAAAUACUACUGACUGACCGAUAGUGAACCAGUACCGUGAGGGAAAGGCGAAAAGAACCCCGGAGAGGGGAGUGAAAUAGAACCUGAAACCGUAUGCGUACAAGCAGUGGGAGCCUACUUGUUAGGUGACUGCGUACCUUUUGUAUAAUGGGUCAGCGACUUAUAUUCAGUGGCAAGCUUAACCGUAUAGGGUAGGCGUAGCGAAAGCGAGUCUUAAUAGGGCGUUUAGUCGCUGGGUAUAGACCCGAAACCGGGCGAUCUAUCCAUGAGCAGGUUGAAGGUUAGGUAACACUGACUGGAGGACCGAACCCACUCCCGUUGAAAAGGUAGGGGAUGACUUGUGGAUCGGAGUGAAAGGCUAAUCAAGCUCGGAGAUAGCUGGUUCUCCUCGAAAGCUAUUUAGGUAGCGCCUCAUGUAUCACUCUGGGGGGUAGAGCACUGUUUCGGCUAGGGGGUCAUCCCGACUUACCAAACCGAUGCAAACUCCGAAUACCCAGAAGUGCCGAGCAUGGGAGACACACGGCGGGUGCUAACGUCCGUCGUGAAAAGGGAAACAACCCAGACCGCCAGCUAAGGUCCCAAAGUUGUGGUUAAGUGGUAAACGAUGUGGGAAGGCUUAGACAGCUAGGAGGUUGGCUUAGAAGCAGCCAUCCUUUAAAGAAAGCGUAAUAGCUCACUAGUCGAGUCGGCCUGCGCGGAAGAUGUAACGGGGCUCAAACCACACACCGAAGCUGCGGGUGUCACGUAAGUGACGCGGUAGAGGAGCGUUCUGUAAGCCUGUGAAGGUGAGUUGAGAAGCUUGCUGGAGGUAUCAGAAGUGCGAAUGCUGACAUGAGUAACGACAAUGGGUGUGAAAAACACCCACGCCGAAAGACCAAGGGUUCCUGCGCAACGUUAAUCGACGCAGGGUUAGUCGGUUCCUAAGGCGAGGCUGAAAAGCGUAGUCGAUGGGAAACAGGUUAAUAUUCCUGUACUUCUGGUUACUGCGAUGGAGGGACGGAGAAGGCUAGGCCAGCUUGGCGUUGGUUGUCCAAGUUUAAGGUGGUAGGCUGAAAUCUUAGGUAAAUCCGGGGUUUCAAGGCCGAGAGCUGAUGACGAGUCGUCUUUUAGAUGACGAAGUGGUUGAUGCCAUGCUUCCAAGAAAAGCUUCUAAGCUUCAGGUAACCAGGAACCGUACCCCAAACCGACACAGGUGGUCGGGUAGAGAAUACCAAGGCGCUUGAGAGAACUCGGGUGAAGGAACUAGGCAAAAUGGCACCGUAACUUCGGGAGAAGGUGCGCCGGCUAGGGUGAAGGAUUUACUCCGUAAGCUCUGGCUGGUCGAAGAUACCAGGCCGCUGCGACUGUUUAUUAAAAACACAGCACUCUGCAAACACGAAAGUGGACGUAUAGGGUGUGACGCCUGCCCGGUGCCGGAAGGUUAAUUGAUGGGGUUAGCGCAAGCGAAGCUCUUGAUCGAAGCCCCGGUAAACGGCGGCCGUAACUAUAACGGUCCUAAGGUAGCGAAAUUCCUUGUCGGGUAAGUUCCGACCUGCACGAAUGGCGUAACGAUGGCGGCGCUGUCUCCACCCGAGACUCAGUGAAAUUGAAAUCGCUGUGAAGAUGCAGUGUAUCCGCGGCUAGACGGAAAGACCCCGUGAACCUUUACUGUAGCUUUGCACUGGACUUUGAGCCUGCUUGUGUAGGAUAGGUGGGAGGCUUUGAAGCGUGGACGCCAGUUCGCGUGGAGCCAUCCUUGAAAUACCACCCUGGCAUGCUUGAGGUUCUAACUCUGGUCCGUAAUCCGGAUCGAGGACAGUGUAUGGUGGGCAGUUUGACUGGGGCGGUCUCCUCCUAAAGAGUAACGGAGGAGUACGAAGGUGCGCUCAGACCGGUCGGAAAUCGGUCGCAGAGUAUAAAGGCAAAAGCGCGCUUGACUGCGAGACAGACACGUCGAGCAGGUACGAAAGUAGGUCUUAGUGAUCCGGUGGUUCUGUAUGGAAGGGCCAUCGCUCAACGGAUAAAAGGUACUCCGGGGAUAACAGGCUGAUACCGCCCAAGAGUUCAUAUCGACGGCGGUGUUUGGCACCUCGAUGUCGGCUCAUCACAUCCUGGGGCUGAAGCCGGUCCCAAGGGUAUGGCUGUUCGCCAUUUAAAGUGGUACGCGAGCUGGGUUUAGAACGUCGUGAGACAGUUCGGUCCCUAUCUGCCGUGGACGUUUGAGAUUUGAGAGGGGCUGCUCCUAGUACGAGAGGACCGGAGUGGACGAACCUCUGGUGUUCCGGUUGUCACGCCAGUGGCAUUGCCGGGUAGCUAUGUUCGG
rnacentral:rRNA from 1 species